CGAGAGUGCCCUCGUUGGGAACUGGGGCCUUAGUGGUCUCGUCAUUUACGAAGCGGAUGGGCUCCUGGACUCUGGGGCCUCGAACUGUCUCGGAGACUGAUUGGCAAGAGCCCCUGCCGCCCAGGGGCCGACGGUCAGGGGGCUUGGCCGGGGCUGGAGUUUGGCCGUCGGAGCUCGGCUGGUCAAAGCUUGCCGCUGGUCCCCGGCUAUCCGCAGUUUCCAAAGACGGGAUGAUUCCUUUACCUGGGUCCCAGAUUGAUGGAACAAAGCUGAAGAUGACUGUGAUUGACAAACAGCAUGAAGAGAAAUAAACCUUACUUUUAAAAAGUGAUCUUCAUACCCGAAAAGUUUGAGAACCCAAACUUUUUCUGACAAUUCAGCAUUUCAACUACCAUGUGGA